AACUUAACCACUUGGCCACAGAGCUGGCCCCUAUAUUUAAUUUAUAAUUUAAAAUUAUUAAUUAUAAAGGUAGAAUAGAUAGCUUUAACAAAUAUCACUUAAACAAAAUUUAAUUUCAAACACUUGAAAGGUGAAAUAUGUAUAUAACUGAGGUUUGUUUAGGGAUAAGAUCAGGAAGCUUUUAAAGUGUGAUUGGAUUUUUGUAUUUGGUUUAUAUAUUUGUUUUUCUCCCUAAUGUUCCUAAAGUAUUCCUGGGGGAUACUCACAUUUUGUGUCACCCAAGGUGAUGUAUUCUCAAACUCUGACCUUCCUCAAGCCUAGGGAACUUCUGCUGUGCUCCCCAACUCGUCUCGUGUUCUUCUUUCCUAAUGCUGUACUUUUAGUCUCAAGGUUAAUUCUUGUGGGAAGCAAAGAAGGGUAAAGAAAUGAGGAACCUUUGCCUUCCUGAGACUUUGCUUCCUGGAGUGCCCCUCUUCACUCCCCCACCAUCUUUCUUUCUCCCCUCACUUCCCACUCUCCAGUCUAUCUCCUCCUCUAGAUUGGGAGAGAUGGAAAAUGCUGAGGUCACAGGUAGAAAUCGGGCCAGCCUCAGCAGUUCUUGUUCUGUUUGAUUUUCCUCUUGAUCUCUUGCCUACUUGCCAGCUGGUAUUUCUGGCAAUAGAAUGCUCAUAAUGGAAAUAUGAAAAGUCCAGCCAAACCUAUGUGUAUGCUGAAAAGUCUAACCUUUAAACUUGUACAUUGCUUAAUCCUAAGAAGCGUUGGUUUUGGACCCAUUCUGCACUGUUUUAUAUUCCUAAGGGAUAGUUAGCAUCCAUUUUGACUCUCCUCCAUUUGUUUCUCAAGUAUAGUUUUAUAAAUGCCCUAUUUUUAAAAUUAUUCCUCCAAAGCACAUUCCAGACAAAACCACACUAAUUUCUAAAGGGCAUUUUUUUUUUUUUUUUUGGUGAAAAGCUGAAUUUGCAAAUAACCAUGUAAUUCCAUUUGUUGUAUCCUUAGAGCACCUUGCUGUUCUUUUGCUUCAAAGAUUCUGACAGCUUGGCACUAGUCAACUUUGAUUAGAGCGAGUUUUCUACCAGCGUAGGAAGAAGCAGCUUUGCCACCAUCACUGAGCAAGAUAGAUUCUGUUGGGAAGACUAAACUGUGUCUUAGUGAUCUCGCUUUCAGGAGGAUAUGAGAAACAGAUUCACAUCUAGUAUAAUCUUCUGGUGCAGAAAUUAUUACCCAGAAGCCAAGAGAGAAACAUAUCACGUUUAUUUAAUUCUCAUAUUCUCUCCUACUUGGAGUUCUUUGAAAACGGACUGACUUAAUUUUGAGGAAAUGAUAUUGUUUUCUGAGAUACUGAAUUUAAAAAACAAAACAAAACGUUUCUAACCUGUUUUGUUCUCGGGGAUUUUUGCUCCAGCUUUCACAUAGUGCUUCACCCAGUUCCUCUAAGAAGGCACUUUAAUGAAGUUGCUUUUUAUGAGCCACACAGUAUAAUUAGGCAAUCACCCUUGUGUGUAGAGUCCACUAGGGGAAAAAGGUGGCAGAAUUGCACAAUGGACUCGUUAUAAAACAGCACAAAUUAAAAACCUGAGCUUACCAGUUAAAGGAAAGACAGCCAAAAACAUACUGUAAAAUAUUAAUGCAUGAAAGAUGAAAGUAAAAAUCAUCUUUAAUAGAAUGUGUUGGUCAAUUGGGAUCAGGAGUAAUUGGUUAAUUGAAAAGAUAAGUUAAUGAAAAAGGCAGUAAAACAGGACAGUUAUUAAAAAUGAUACACACAUGCCUUAAACAUUUUAUUUUAUAUUAAGUAUGUAAGUGCUGAUUCACCAGUACUUUGAGAUUGCCCCAUGGUGUUUUCUUUGAUUAUGGUUGAACUGAUUUGAAUUCCUGAAGAAAUCACACUCUUGAUCUAUGAUUUCUAAUUUUAGUGUCUUUAAGUAGAGCAGAACUUAAAAGAUGUAACCAAUCUGAGUGCAGAAUCCUUCUUGAUUUUUAUGGCAUUUUCUCCCGAUCUUUUAUGGUGCAAGAACACACAUAUUCAAAGGAGUAUUUUUAGCCAUUUGCCUUUAUCAAGUUUUUUCAAAUCACUCUAUCCAUUUUUCAUAGAAAUAACAACUCUUUUUUGCAAUUAUACUUGUGAUUUCAAGAAUAGUUAAAUUACAUAAUUAAAAUAGCAAGUACAACUUGUAUAAACAAGAUUGGGGGCAUGUGUUGGUAAGAACUGAACUCCACACGUGGACAAUCUAUGAGAGUAGCCCAGCCACGUGGUCAGCUUCCCAUGGGCAUCCAUCACGUUCCUCUGUAAAACAGAAGAAAUAAAAAAAGAGUCGGCUAAUUGAAUCAUUCUGAUCCAUAGAUAUCACUAAAAUAAAUGGAAUGACUUUUUUAUUUUUAAGGAAACUUUUAUUUCAGAAUAGUUUCAUAUUUAUGAAAGAGUUGCAAAGAUAGUACAGGAAGUUCCUGUGUAAUCCACACCCAGGUUUCUCUUACUUAGCAUCCCACAUUAGUUUGGUACAUUUGUUAUAAUUAAUGAACUAAUAUUGCUACAUUAUUAUUAAUCAAAGUCCAUACUUUAUUGGGAUUUCAUUAAUUUUUACCUAACAUUCUUUGUCUGCUCUGGGAUCUCAUCCAGGAUACCAUGUUACAGUAGUCAUGUCUCCUUAAGCUUCUCUGGAAUGACAGUUUUGCAAGCUUUCCUUGUUUUUGAUGACCUUGACAGUUUUAAGGAGCACUGGUCUAGUGUUUUGUAGUAUGUUCCUCAAUUUGGAUUUUUCUCAUGUUUUCCUCAUGUUUAGCCUGAGAUUAUGGGUUUUUGGGAGGAAGAUCCCAGAGGUAAAGUGACAUUCUCAUCACAUCAUGUGAAGGGUACCUAUCAAUAAUAUCAAACAUGACUUAUCACUGUUGAUGUUGGCCUUGAUCACCUGGCCUGCAUUGUGUAGUCAGGUUUCUCCUCAGCUGCAUUUCUGUGAUUUUUAUACUCGAAUGGUUUACUACACUCAGAUGGGAAAUGUGCAGAUAGGUAAAUUCUUUCAACCAUGUCCUCUUCAUGAUAGAAUUAGAUAGUUUGACCUCUUUAUGAGGAUUUCGUAAAGAGCUGAAAGAAGUACACUUCAUGUCGUCUUAGCAUUCCUACCAAAGGCCAAUUUUGCUGUCUUGUUUCCUGUUUCUUGAGCUUUAGUACGUAACUGAGGGAAACACAGGCUCCAAAGAUGUUUUUUGGCAGUGGUUUGGAAGGAAAACAGAGCACUAUGGUUGCACACUUGUGCUUCUGCAGUUGCAUGAUUCAGGAUUUCAAGCUCAAGACUAAAUAUACCAUUCCUGGGUUCAGUUUUAUUUGAAUCUGUGGUUAGUAUUUUAUGACAAUUUAAAGUUUUUCAUACUACUCUUGAGUGCAUUUAGCAAAAAUGUACAUGAUAAUCACAUUGCAGUGUUUCAGUGGAUGAACAAGGCCGGUUAAGCGUUGCUAAGUCCAUUGUCCUAUUUGCAGACUAUUCCUAAGAUGGAAAGUGAUUCCAAUAUGGUGUAGAGAAAAGUUUUGUGACAUUGACCUAAGCUGCCGACCACAACAGCUCGUAUCUCAUACUUUACAGAAGAAGUUGCACAAAACCUGAGAAACAAUCUUUUAGUAAAGAAUCAGACUCCUACACUACAUCAAUCUAGUGGAAACAUUUUAAUAUAGAACACAAAGAGAUCUCUAAAACCCAGAGACCAUCUGUUGCCUUUCUGGGCCUGGAGAUAACAUGAGAAUGUUACACAAACUUCCUUUUACCUAAAUUUCUCUGACAAGAAUGUGAAAACUAUUCAUUUUAGAAUUGAAAUUCAUUUACUUCACUUAAAUAAGAAUGGUUUCCUAACCCUUAAAAAAACCAAGAAACAGUGGCCUGGCAUUUUAAACAUAGUCCUACAAUAUCAGUACGAAAGGAAAAUAAGACUGAGGCCAAUUCUUUUCAGGGUUUUCUCUUCUGUGGUCCCAAAGGACUUUAUUUUUCAACUCCAUCUUGGCUGAAUAUGGAACUCAUGCGUCUGUUUCCCAGAUAUCUCCAGAUCACUUCACUGUAAACUUGACCUUGAGCAGCCGAAUGAUGUUUCUAAUUCUACAUUUCUCUCCCUGAAUAUCCAUGAAAGAUUGCUGUACCUAUGACAGGUUCAUGAUUCUUUCCCCCUCUGUGCACUUAAUUUGUGUAUUAUUGUAUCAUAUGACAUUUUGAAUCAAGUGCUGCUAGUACCAAUCUGCUAUCAGCAGCUGAUGCCAAAAAUAUUCAUUAUAACACUUCUCAGCAUGCAAGUGAGAGCACUUCAAAUCAGAGAGGGAGAAUUUCCAGUCAUUGUUGUUUUCUUUUUUGCAUAUUACACAACAAAAUGAAUGCAAACAAAAGGACGUUUAUUAGAAAAUAAUGCCUUGGUAAAAUGUUGUAAAACAUGUGAUUCAUUGUUUGCGAAGGCCGUGCGAAAUUCAGUGCUGCAUUGUAGAUACCAUCUCAGAGGCCUUGUUGCCCUUCUUUUCUCUUUUCCCAAAUGUUUUUCAAGUAGCAUUUUUUUUAGUCUUUGAUUAUCUUAAGCUAUUUACAUAUCUGGAAGGAGGCAGCGCCCUCAGCAGAGAACCAUGAAAUGAGCUCCGCAGCCUACCUUUGCUUUAGCUAAGGCCCCUUUCUGUCAGGACGCAGGUCACGACCAGUGCAGGACUCAGGUAGCCACAAGGAGAAUGGGAGGCUUUCUUCUCUAAAGGAGGACAGUUAAAAAACAAAUUCAAUAAGUAAGGUUUGUCAUUUUCUAAUGUUGAGAGUGCUGAGCCUGCAAGUAUCAGCAAAUUUCUUGUAAAUUAAUUCAUUUUACAAAGUGAACACUGAGACUUGGUCGCCAACUGACAAGAUGCCAGAAAAUGUCAUGGCAAAGAAGAGAGAGCCUUCAGUGGCAAUUUGGAACACCUGACCUCUCAUUUUCCCCAUCUUCUGGAAGAGGAAACAUGGAGCCUGUUGACUGGGAGAUGAAAAGAGUGGUGGUUACCAGAAGUGGAAAAGUGGGAUUGGCCAGGGGACUGCAAUUUUCCAAUUCUUCUUCUUCUGCCUGAAGAACUGGGGAUGGGUAAUCUUCCCUCCCUCCUUCGCUGACCCCAGAGAGACAAUGAACAAGGGCUGAAGUUGGGCAAAGGUCAUUUUCAUCUCAGCUUGAUGAACACACACCAAGUGCUCCUUAAAUCUAUGCUUCCUGCACAAAGUGCUGUGACCUCAGUCUACUGGAGAGGGCCAAACGUCACCUGUGUCACCUGGAAAGAAAUUAGCACUAUUGCUAUGGUCUACUGCAUUCAGAAGAGAUCCAAAACCACCCCUUGGCUCUCUUUGCUGUCUUCUGCUUCACCUGUUCUGUUGUUCAUUAUAUGGGUUGACUCCAUAUUUUUAAAAAGGUAUUUCAUAUAGAGGUGUUUCUUUUCCUGCUGAAUUUCAAGCCCAUUGUUGUAGGUGAGGUGAUUUCUUUUGUCUGGUGUAUAAUGUUUUGCUAACUUUUGACUUGGAAAUCACAAAGUCUUACCAAAGCCUUAAAGGAGAAGCUAAAAAUUCAAGUUUAUUGACUACUUUGUAGGUGUCUAAUAUCAUAGUUCAUACUGUAUAUAUGAAAGCCCAGAACAAGCUGAUGUGCGUGUCUUUAAGAAAACUCAUAAUCUUAGCUGUGGAAAUGGUUUAGGAUAGUGAUCUCACAUUUUCCUAUUACAUUUGAAAUCCUAGAAGAUAAUAAUGUGAAAGACUUACCCUCAAGAAGAAUAAUAUAUUUAAAUCUGCUUUGAAAAUAUUUAGAAAUUUCCGUAUUUAUUUUGCUUUGGAGUAUAUAUUAGGAAAUGUUUUGUGGGUAAAAUUUGACUCCUUUGAAACCCCAUGAGUUUUUGUCAAAUCAUUUAAAUUCAUGAAAAGCAGCCCUUUUAUUAACAACAACACAGCCCCACAAAAUGUAGAGUGCCAUUAGUGGAAUAUUAUUAAGCCAUUUUCAAAAAUCUAUCAGCAAAUUUCUGGUGUGACGAAAGACUUAAGAAUGGGAGGGCUGGUUUAGUAUUGAUCACUGAUUCAUGUUAACUAAUUAAAUUCAAGCCGGAAGAAUGAAUUCGCACUGGCUUUGGUCUGCUGCCAAUCAGCAGUUGUUGGGGUGGGGUGAAAGGGAACCUGGGGUCACAAGCCAGGCUGGCUCGAAAUCAGAUAACUGUAGAGUCAGCAUUAAUGUGCUGACUCAUUGCAGUGACUCUGAAGCAUUUCACCCCUCCCUUAAAUGCUUCCAAUUGUGAACAGAGAGAAGGCUGGGCUGGGCAGCAUAUGGACAAGCAGGAGGGACGGGCUGGGGUUCCACAAUCCCAUUCGUGGUGGUCAAAACUGGAGUGUGGGAGGAGACCUGCCCGGGGACCUGUUGAAUCCUUCCAGGUGCACCGUAGCUGCCAGUUUUUGAGGUUUGCCAGUCUCGUUCUUAGGAUCCUGUUGUAUUCAGAUAAAGUCCUUGAAAUUCUUCCCUCAGUUUCCCCAGUUUAGCUUGAUAUCAUGUGGGGCCCCUUAGCUCGGUGGGUGAUGAUUAUCUGGUUCUAAAAAGUUUUGUUUAUCAAUCCAUCUAUUUUAACUUAUAUUUGUGUGUGUGUGUAUUUAUUUAUUUACUUUGGUGAACAGAUAAAUUCUUGAGACAGGGAAGAAAUUGGCUCUGUUAGGCUUCUCUUAGCACCACCGUGCAAUCUUCCACAGUUGUUUCUCCCAAACCUUCUGAACACGCUAGCAAGUUCCUCUCUCUGCAUUCAACUGAGAAAUCUAAGUACAGUUUCUCUGCUCUAAAGGUAGAUCAAGUCCGGUGUAUAAAACGUCCAGGGUGGAAUUGGAAAGUUGCAAAUUUCAAAAGAAGAAAAUGCUUAGUUUUAACUUUUAAAUGAUAGUUCGCAUAGGAAUGGAGAUCAUUCAUGAGGUUAUUUUGAGUUAUUUGGUAGUUAAAUAAUUUCAGAUUUGUAGCUGAAAAGUUAGAGGAGCUGUAUCAAUCACCCUUUUUAGGAAAAGCUUCUUUUUACUGCUUUUAGAGUCAUGAACAGGAAAACAUGCAGCUUACUAAAAAAAUACCGUUGCUCAAUGUUAAUGCUUUUUGUUUUGAUUUUUAAAAAUGUUUAUGUGAAAGUAAAAAAGAAUGUUUUCCCAAAUGUUAUUGGUUAUAUAACAUAUUUGAUUUCUGCAACAUUGUAUGUUCUAAAGGACAGUUGCAAACUAUGUGAGUUUGCAUAGGUCCAUCAAGCAGCUCUCACCAAGAGGGUAGCUCUCUACUGCUGCUGUGUCAUCUCUGGGGCACAGUAGCUCUGGCAAGUGCUAGUGACAACUGCAGAGGGUGAAACAACUAUGUGAUUUAAAGGAAGGAUGUGGAGGGACAAGACAGUAAAACCGCUAGGCAAGGGUGAUGUGGCCCUGGAUCUAGCUCAGGGUUGCACCCCAUCACUCACUCCAGACAUAAGUUCAAGACUGUAGCCAAGUCUUGUAUAUUCAGAGGGACAUGAUGCUACACUGAGGCUGGGCUUAGGCACAGCACUAGAAUUUAAUGGAAAAAUUGAUAGUUGGCGCCAGAACAAAGUAGAUCAGGUCCAGAGAGCCAAAGAUGAGAUGUUCCUCUGAAGCUUAGUGGUUGUUGACUACUGCAUCCUGAGGCUGGGCUGGUAAGGGAGUAGCUGUGACAAUUUUAAUAAUGUAUUGUGUUGCUUAUUACCAUUCUACUUAUUUAACUGAGCUUUCCUUUGGCAAUUAAGUCCCUUUCUAAAUAUUCUGAACUUAAUGGAAAUGACUUACCCCUUUAAGGCUAGCAUAUUUUGGCCUCACUAGAGCCUUAGAGACAGAGAGAAAAAAAAGAGUGCCAAUGAAUUUGCUCACACAUAAAUAAGUUAACCAUAGUGUUAAGAGAACCAUAAGUUAUUCAGCAGUGAUUCAUCCCAUAAACGUGUUUUGAGCACCUACAAUAUACAGAGAACUAAGCAAGGUCUGAACCUAUGUUGGCAAAUGGAAGGUGACAGAAUCUGUUCUUAUGGGUCCUAUAGUCUAAUAUAGGGGUCAGCAAGCUAUGACUCAUGGGCCAAAUCCACCAUCACCUGUUUUCGUAUAGAGCAUAAGCUAAAGUUGAAAAAAAAAUAAGACUAAUAUUUUGUGAUGUGUGAAAAAUUAUAUUAAAUUCAAAUUUAGGUGUACAGAUAUUGAAAAAGUUGUAUUGGAACAUAGUCACACUCAUUCAUUACGUAUUGCUUAUGGCAGGUUUCGUAUUACAGUGGCCAACUUGAGUAAUUAGAGAGCUUUUGGUCCAUGAAGCUUAAAAUAUUUAAUAUCUGACUCUUGACCAAAAAACUUUGUCAGUGGGUUUUCUAAUGAGUUGGAAAAACAUUAAUCAGAUUAUCACAGUAUUAAAAUGUGCAUGUGGUGAGUGCUGGGCAAGAAAGGUGUAUAAACAUAUGAACGUGUAUGAUGAGACCUAGAAAUGUAAUGAUGGUAAGCAGACCCACAGUGGUGUUAAUACCUUCAUCAUUUUUUGUUUAAUUCUUUACAGGAUUCAUAAGAGACCACACUCAAGAAGUGUUAAACAAAUGUGAUUGGUAACAUAAUUCUAGUAAUAUUAAGUGUUUAGGAGUUUCUGAUUGAAUCCCUGCCAAUGUAGUUUGAGAGUUUUUAAGGCAAGAGGGCCAGAAAUAAGUUUAAAACAUCAUAUGAUGCUCAGGCUUUCAUUGGCCAACCUUGGCACUUACUGGUACUGCAACUGAAAAAGAGUACUGACAAACUCAGAGUAUAGAGAAAAAUGUCAAAGGAUAUACACUUUUAAAAAGAGGAAACGGACCGACCCCGUGGCUGAGUGGUUGAGUUUCUGCGCUCCGCUGCAGGCGGCCCAGUGUUUCUUUGUUUCGAGUCCUGGGCGCGGACAUGGCACCGCUCAUCGGGCCAUGCUGAGGAAGCGUCCCACGUGCCGAAGCUGGAGGGGUCCACAGCUGGGAAUAUACAACUGUGUACCGGGGGGCUUUGGGGAGAAAAAGGAAAAAAAAUAAAAUCUUUAAAAAAAAAUGAGGAAACACCCACCUGUAUAGAUAUAUGAAAUAAGGGAAUAUAUUUUUCUCCAUAAAUAUGCAAAAAA